rnacentral:rRNA from 1 species
UACGGGGGGUGCGAGCGUUGUCCGGAAUCACUGGGCGUAAAGGGCGCGUAGGUGGUCUGAUAAGGGUGUGGUGAAAGCCCGGGGCUCAACCCCGGGUCGGCCGUGCCGACUGUUGGACUAGAGUGCUGUAGGGGCAGGCGGAAUUCCGGGUGUAGCGGUGGAAUGCGUAGAGAUCCGGAGGAAGACCGGUGGCGAAGGCGGCCUGCUGGGCAGUUACUGACACUGAGGCGCGGCAGCGUGGGGAGCAAACAGG